CCUUUACCCGCACAAGUUAUUGCUCCACACGAUUUAUAAGACGAAGUAACGGAAACGACUCGACGAACAUAGACCAAAUCGCCAGUUUGCAAAAUGGAUAAACUUCUUGUUAAAUGCAUUGCAGUUGUAUGUUGUUGUACAAUGGUGCUAUUUUCCCUCACACAUGCCGAGGCCUUCGAUAAAGAUGGCGACGACAGCACUCUACAGAGAUACCUCGAAAAAGCGAUGGAGGCGAAGAGAUCUAAACAAUGGGGAUAUCGAAAUUUUUUCAGUGACGACUGGGACUGCCAAGGAUUCGGAAAUUUCUGCGGUAUUGGACACCGGAAGUGUUGCAUUGGGCUGAAAUGCAGAGUGGCCGGCCGCUACCGCGCAUGCCUGUGGUGAGCAGACGACUUCCUGUGAGCCUCGGUUUCGGACAGAUGGAGUAGAAUGUUGUCACGUACUGUAUAAUUUGUUUUUAGGGAUAACUAUAGUGAUUUUAAACACCCAAUUGUAAUUUAUGGUGCAUUUACAGCGGGAAUAACAAUAAUGAUAGAAGCCUUACCUUGAUGUUUCUUUCGACUCGGACUCGGCAAAAAGAGGUGCAUCGCUUGACAAAUUCACGAUGUCACGUACGAAACUGCAGCAGCGACUAACGAUCGAUUUAUAGUGGGGUUUUAUCGAGUUAAAUUGAAAACCUGAAAAAUAUACACAAAACCAAACUUAACGUUUGCUUAUCACAGCGUAUAAGAUAUGAAUUACGGCUUGAAUAUACAUGUACAUAGAAAACGGGACGAAAAGCUACUUACGGGUGAUAUGUUGUAUGUUCCAUAUGCGGGUAACGCCCGGCUCGCGUCCGGAGACAAAAGAACGCUGAUACCGCGUAGUACACGUGUCUCGUUAUAAGCACCCCACAGACCACUUUGGCGCGAGGCCCUAAAUGCCAAAGGUCGAAUCCAUUGCACAAUGCAAGGGGUGACAGCAUGGUUGGUUGCAUGUGACAUAUGCAUUUCGUUGGCAGUGAAGAAGAUGUACACAAUGUAUGCAUACUAACUCAUCAUUGUCAUUUCUUGAACAAAAUCAGGCUUUUCAACUAUUUAACAGAGUAAAUGAUUGUCCUUUAUUGCCUAAUAUUCGGAUCUUCAAUUUUCCAACUGGUCGAUCAAAAACUAAAACGACACCUGGGCUCGUAAAUAGUAAUUGUACGAAAAGCAUUCUGCAGUCGUGCAUAUUGAUGCAUCCUGUAUACAAUAAAAGUAUUCGCAAAUGAAGAGAGAAAAGUCAUACACUGCAUCCAUACUUUUUCAAGGCAUUGAUUUCGGUAAAUUCAGCGCUGUCCGGUCCCAUCAUGUGGAGUGUAUAUGUUGAAGGAAAGUGUCGACCCCCACUGUCCUCUCCAGUUUCCAUGGCAAAACUGCUCCCUGUUUGCAUUUUGUCUCAUUUCAAAAACCAAUCGUUUGGCUUGUCACUGCAGCUUCGACCGGUGUAAAAGUAAAAAGUGUCCCCCCUGGAAAAAGUGUCCGGGCCUAUUGUAUUCUGACAGAUUAUGGCAUAUGGUUCUAUAGAGGCAAUUACCGUCAAUAGCUCAGCGCAUAAUAGAAUCCUUUGUUUACGGACAUUUUAUCCCAGGACAUUUUAAACUUCUACACCGGCUCAGUGUCAAACUUACAGUUUGUAAACGUUCUACAUGAAAAUAUCUGACUUCCACGUGUUAAAAUGUUGUCGUGGUGUAAAAAAAUAACCUACAAUUGAAAAAAUCUCAUCUUUAUUGUUCAAAAAAUAAAUAUUUUAUUGUACAUAUUAA